rnacentral:tRNA from 1 species
GCGGGUAUGGUAUAGCGGUAUUACACCUCCUUGCCAAGGAGGAGAGACGGGUUCAAUUCCCGUUACCCGCUCCA